UACAGAGGUGGCAAGCGUUCCUCGGAAUUACUGGGCGUAAAGGGCGCGUAGGCGGUCAGGUCAGUCCCGUGUGAAAUCCCUCGGCUCAACUGAGGAACUGCACGGGAAACUACCUGGCUUGAGUUCGGGAGAGGGAAGCGGAAUUCCGGGUGUAGCGGUGAAAUGCGUAGAUAUCCGGAGGAACACCGGUGGCGAAGGCGGCUUCCUGGACCGACACUGACGCUGAGGCGCGAAAGCUAGGGGAGCAAACGGG
rnacentral:rRNA from 1 species